GGCACAGAAACACAUCCUGUGAAAACGAAGGUUGGCUCGAAGUAAACAGCAGUUCUACCAUCAGAAAACACAGUGAAGGCUACGUACUGAGCUUUACAUACAAGGAUGUUCACUGCAGCGUUGAAGAUAACAGCCAAUACUUGGAAACAACCCUAAUGUCCGAUAGGGAAAGCGAUGGGUAAUUGUCGCAAAUCCUUGUAAUGGAAUAUUGUGCAGCCAAUAAAAGCCAUGACUGUGAAGCUCCUUUAAUAGCACCGAAAUGGAGGAGCAGAAAUGACACCUGCCGUCCUAUGUGCUCCCCACUGUGGCAUCUCUGCAGAGAGCAGAAGCUGCCCGAUACCUGACUUCUGAGUAAGUGGAGGAUGGCUGAGUAUAACUCUGCACCUGUAGCUGUGACCUACAUAUUCACUCACUCAAUCAAUCAUAAUUUUGAGCCCCUAAUCUGCAUCAAUCACAGUUUGAGAUGCUGGGGACACAGCAAUGGAUGUGAUAAACAAGGCCCCUGAGGUCAAAGUUGGGGGAGAGGAACAAUAAAUCCACAGGAUGGUCCUUUUCCUGUUCUAGAUCCACCAGAAACCACCAGGCCUGGGGCCAUCACCCGCCAUAAAGGAUAUGGAACAGAAACCUGCCCAGGGUCUAUCUUCCUGCCACGCCCGCAUCAGCCCAUCCAGCCCUGCUCCCCCCAUCAGCCCAUCCGGCUUCUGGAAGCAGCAGGGGGAGAAGUUUUUCCAGAGACAACUCUUCAUUAAAUCGCCUGUCCAAGAAUCUGCACCUGCACCUCCCUCAGCUGCCACCCGAAUCUCUGACCUCAACGAAUCCCUAUGCCAGGGGAAUGCAAGACUGAUUGGCCACAGGCCUGGGGCUCUGUACUCCCCUGAGCCUGGGUGGGGAGUGAUUCCUCAAGGACAAGGAGAAGGGAGAGGGCUGAGCAGUGGUCCCCAAGGGAAGUGGCACUGGGGGUGGGGCAGAACCAUCACGCGUUACCGAUGGUGGGGUCAGAAUCAGGGGGCCUGAGAUAUAUGCUAUUGGGUCCCACCCUAUAGCCCUGCCCACGUCCUUCAGCUGUGGAGAGCGUGGGCUGCCAGCUGGGCCCUUUUCUGGGGAAUCAUCCUCAGCUGAGGAAGCUGACUGCUGACUCACCUGAAAAAUGCCUGCGAGGUCUCACCUUUCCCUGGGAUGACCUGCAGCCAGUCACUGGCUGACACAUGGGUACAAAAGGUCUGGCUCAUUCGAGGAGGCAGGACAGUCAUGUGGUGCCACAGAGGACACUCCAGAGCUCCCCAUGGGCCCAGAUCAGGGCUAGACUAGACCAAGUCCAUGCCCUGGCCUGGCUUCUUGCCCACCCUCCGCUACUUCCCUCACUCCCCUUCUUCUGAGCGUGCGCCCUCUGCAAUCUCACAUGUCCCCGUAAGUCCCCAUCUCAGGCUCUGCUUCUAGGGAGCCUAACCUAUGCAGAAGGCCAAGCUGGCUCUCGCCUGCACACCUGCCCCAUGCAAGCUUCCCCUUGGAUCUUCUUCCCUGCAUGGGGAAAUUGGUCCUACCCCACCAGGCUCCAAGGUGUGCAGCCAGCAUCAUCUUGGAAUCCCUCUCAAACCCAGACUCCCACCAAGAACUCAAUUCUCCCCACAUCUGCUCCAGGUCCUUAGGAAACUCAACAUCCAAAUCCCUUUCAUCUCCAGGUUGAUUAACAGAAGAUUAUAAGCAAGCUUCAGAAGGAAGAAAAACCAGUGUCUCCCCAGGGCAGACACUGUCUGUUGACAAAUACCACCAAUAUAUAUUUUUCUCAUUUUUGUAUAGAUAUACAGAACUAAGCCGAUUAAUAUAUUCUUCUUUCCCUCUUAGGUCUAGGACUGCAAUGGGAAUCUUUCUGCCCCAUGGUGAACUGUGUACCAGGUUUCAAUAAAGGUUUUAUCUUUGCAAUUACAGUUCAUUAAUAAAUUUACAAGGGAAGGAAGAUGGCGAGGUCUGUCUAAGAGGAUUGUUUCGCAUUUCUUCUCUUUUAAUUACAGUUAUCUCCUGAACCAAAGCUCUUUGAAAAACAGAGAGAAAAAAGACACCCUUUCCCCAUCUGUUCCAGAUAUGGGUACAAUUAAUAAGGGAGGAGACAGGAGCUGCUCCUGGGCUUCCUGCAAACUGAGACCUCACCACCUCCUCUUCAGAGCUGCCCUGUGGGUGGGAGUCUUGGCCACCAGAGCUCAGCUGGCAUCAGGCACCUGGAGCCUUGGAAAAUGAAACUGCAGAUAAGGGAGGACUACCGUAUUCAUGUAACCAGAGAGAAAACAAAUUUCCACAAUUCUUCCAACUUCCCCGUGAGUGCCUGCUCCUUGAUGGACUGGACUCUAAGCCCUUCUUUGCAGCAAGCACGAUAUCAAGCUUUGUCAGUAGAGGGCGCCGGAGGGACACUGUGGAGGAAGGGGCCUUUUCAUGGUCCACAGAGCUCUGUUGUGCAAUUUCUUGUUCCUGUUGCAUCUUCUCUUAGGGUAUGAACGCGGGGGGACAUCCUCUGGGGCUUUUCCUCAGCUGUGCACCCAGAAUGCAUGGUCCCUCGACCACCUCAUAGCCCAUCCUGAGCCCAGUGCCCAUCUUGCUGUGGUCCAGCCCACACCUCCACCUGCACGUGCACACCACUCUCUCUCCUGUGCCCAGAGAGGUGUUUCCUGCCUGCCAGCCUGACCUGCAUCUAUGAACCAGCACCUCUGGGACCCAAUACCUUCUCUGCCAUUCAAGGGGCUGCAGCCACAGACAUCCAGCGAAGUCAGGACCCCAGCCUCGGGGGCAGGUCCUUCCAAGGUUGUCUUCUUCAGCCCUAGGGUGCUGUUCCGAUUCUUCCUGACAUCAUUUUAGGCACUCUUCUAUCAUAGUUUAAUAAUUAUGUAUAGAAAAUGUCUCCUAUUCAGAUCACUGUGUGGUUUCUGUGUCUUUAUUGAAAUCUGAUGGACUGAUCCCCAGGAAGACCCCUCAGGCACCCUGGAGAGAAUGGAAGCUCCCUAAUCCAAAGAGUGAGUGUGAGUCCAUCUCAGUCACCGUGUGUCUGCUGCAUGGCUGAGGCCACGUGACUGCACCUCCCUGGGCUCAGUUUGCUCACCCAGGAAAUGCGGAGAAAGCUUCCUUCUCCAAUGGAUGCUGAGACUGCGAAAUGAGACCAUGCAUAUGAAGCACAGAGCAUGGGGCCAGGUACCUGCCGGUGUUCAAGAUGGUAGAACUGCACCUUCGUAAGUGUGGUGGGCAUCACAUGGGACAGUGUGUGGAGUGACCGGCAUGGGGCCUGGGGGGAAGUGGAGGCUCAAAACCCAACCUCCCUCCCUCUCUCCCUCCUGUCCUCCUUCUCUCCCAGGACACCCCUCCCUCAGGCCCCCAAGGCUCUAGUUUCUCUCCCCAAGUCCCCCUGUGUGGUGGUUAAUACUGAGUGUCAACUUGAUUGGAUCGAAGAUGCAAAGUAUUGAUCCUGGGUGUGUCUGUGAGGGUGUUGCCAAAGGAGAUUAACAUUUGAGUCAGUGGGCUGCAGAAGGCAGACCCACCCUUAAUCUGGUGGGCACCAUCUAAUCAGCUGCCAGCGAAUAUACAGCAGGAAGAAAAACGUGAAAAGGUGAGACUGGCCUAGGUUCCCAGCCUACGUCUUUCUCCCGUGCUAGAUGCUUCCUGCCCUCGAACAUCAGACUCCAAGUUCUUCAGUUUUGAGACUUAGACAGGUUCUCCUUGCUCCUCAAGCUUGCAGACGGCCUAUUGUGGGACCUUGUGAUCAUGU
rnacentral:lncRNA from 1 species